ensembl:lncRNA
GCUGGGCCAGUACAGGGCUCCUCCCUUGUUCAUCAUGCACCUCGGAGCACGGUGCAAGGCUCCUUCAUGGUAUUUGGGCACCCGGAGGAUCUGCCUGAUUGUGCUUGGCCUCUGUCAAUCUGCUCCAAUUGUUGGUGAAAUCACUCUAGAUGGGAAUGUGGUCCAGUUCUAGGGCUCCAUCACCCACCCCCUCCUCCUCCUCAGCAUUGCCAGCACUACCCAACACCGUCAUUCAAAAAGAGAAAGCUGGAUUGGAAAUUCUCACUUUGAGUUGCAACAAGGUGCUGAAAACCCAUCCAAACUGCACAAAUAUUCCUGAUUCAGUGCAAACAACUCAAAAGCUGCCUCUGCAAUGCCAGAUGUCUGCAGCAAGAGUAGGAGUGGUCUGCAAGAGAGCAGCUUCAGCUGACAGUCCUGUCUCAAAAGUAUGCUACCAGUAUAUUUCAGGAGUCUUUAAUGCAUCUACAAAGCAACUCAAAGAAUCACAUCACCUAUGAAGUGUAUAUGAAAUGUAGUUUUACCUUAAAAGUUCCUUACUAUUUCUCCAAGCCAUUUGGACGUGGGUAAUGCAUUUGCCUUCUGCCAGAAUUUCCAACACUUCUGUAGGAGCCUUGUAUGAAGACUAAAGAGUGAUUUCUCUGGGACAAGUUGGUAACAAUUGGGCCUCCUAUUGGGGCAGCAAGUCCCAUUUCCUGCAUGUUGUCUGUUUAAUGUUUCCCAUUAUGCUUGUGUGUCUUCUUGAGAAGUUUGAGAAGUCUUAACACCUCUUUUGGAAACAAGCAUUUGGAGCUUGGCAAAGAGAAAGCCUCUGGGCUGGAGAAGAGCCUUUGUCCCAGAUAUAAAUAUCCAAGAUAUAAAUAUCUACAGUGGAUUGUCUUCCUCAAGAAAAUUUAGGCAGCCUGUCAAAAGAAUAACUGCACAUGGAUACAGUCAUCAAAGCCUGAACCUCUGCUGCCGCCAGAGCAGUAGCAGCAGCAGCGCUACACCCUACGAUGGAAAAGCAUAGAUAUGACCUGGAUGCUCUAGCUGUGGCAAAACUGGAAAACAAAAGCAGACAUGUCCAGAUCUGCUCAGACUGUGCUCAUAACAGAUAAAUAUCUUAAAGUGGAUGCUGUGCUGAAAAAUCAGUUAGGAAGUAGGCAGAGCUCUGUAUGGGCAUACCCCAGAACUUGAUCUGAUUUCUGAACUCAGCUCUCUAGAGUGCUUCAACUCCUCUGAAUUUGGAAAGGGGAAAGAAGGGAAACAACCACAGGAAAACUUCUUGUAAGAGGAUGGAGGAGCAAGAAAGAGCACAGUAAUGUUCAUAACCAACUUAUACAUGUUCUUUACAGAACAAGCAUUGGUUGAAUUAUAAUGCUAUGUUUUCCUACAUGCUACUCAGACUCCGUGGCUCUGGAGGGUCAUCUUGCUGUCCCCCUGCAAAGGGCUUGGAAGUCCUUAAGUGCAACUUAGUUGGCUGUUAGAGCCAAGCAGGAGAUACUUCAACAUGUUUGCCAAAGCACAGCUUUCCUAAAAGCAUAGCUCUCCUAGUGUUACACUGCAAUAUUAGCCUUGGACCUGAGCCCAAAUCCUGAUGUGGGAUUUAACUCACUAUUCUGGCCCAGAGGCAAACAAGUAAUCCUGGCAAUACACUGUAAAUGGGCUAAACAGACAUAAAUCCUGGAAUUAUUAACAUGCGUGGUAUCCAAAACUAUCCUAAAAAUACAAAGCCAAUACCCCUCUCAUAUUAGCACAAGAAAAUAUUCACGGAAAGCAGCAGCCAGCUCAUGAAAGCUGAUAUUUUAUCCAUAUAUAUAAUGUUUUUAUUAUGCUUCUGCUUUUCAGUUUUGUAAACAGCUGGUAACCAACUGUAAUUCAGAUUUGAACCUGAUAACUUUACUUCUUUUGCUCAUUAGAUAAAAAUAGCAAAAUUGUCAAGUUGUAUUUUCUUAAAUCAAAGAAAAUAUUGAAAAUCACAUAUUUCUCUUCUUAACAUAACCCUCUGGAAAUGCCUUACAUAACCAUGUAAUGAAGAUUACAACUGCAUUGUCAAAAGGAGCCCAGUGCUAAAAUUUGUUACAGAGACAUUAGGGUAAGCGUUCCCAAUUGUGAGCAGGUGGUACAAACAUGAACCCUACUGAGAUAUAAUGAGAUGUGUAUACAUGGGAAGUUUAGGAACCUCCUGUGCAUCUUUUUGAAAAUGACAUAAAACAACUUGCAAUUAAACUCUAUUUGAUGCCAGAUGAGAAACAAAUGUUUUAGGGAAAGUAGUUUUUAAUACAACAAUAAUUCACUUUACAUGUGCAUGCCAGCAGCUUUGCAUGCUACUUCCCAACCAGCAAAAAGCCUUACAAUCAUUCAGCAGGGGCUGAGACCUUACAUUUCACAUAUCUUUACAGGGAUAUUUCCUAUGAAUGGCUUUGUUUGCACAAUGGCAACAAUUCAUUAUGUCGUGUUUGCUUUUUCACUUGUCUAAGACCCCAGCCAAAGGAACACUUUCAGCUCACAUCAAACUUCAAGCACAUCCAUAUUGGUUAUUAGAGUUACAAAAGCAGCUCAGGAAAAGGCUGGAGAUGAGUGUGUUCUGCUGGACUGAAGUCUGAAGGUUCAGGACAUGCCAUGUUCAUAAUGGUUUGGUGAAUAAUGUGAAAUAUGAAGUGUCAUUCGUGGGUCCUAUAGAACUGACUUUCUUCCCUUUCAAAAGAGUAAAUGUUACUAGUAGCAUUUAUGGUGUCCAGAGGGAAAUCUCCAUGUUGCAGAAUGCAUUUCUUUCUGGGAGUGAAAUCUCUGCUUCUGUAGAGGGCACAGCUCCUCUGGCCCAACCUGAAUACGCCCAGUGGGGUGUCAUACUCCUGCCUAGCAGUUCACAUCCCCUAAAUGCUGAGAAGGAGAUGAUACUGUUAUCUUUGUGUUUGUUGGGUGUAUUUUAGUCUCACACAUGUUCUUCCUAUUCUUUCC